ACUCCAACUGUCUAAAAACUGCCUAAAAACUGCCUAAACUGUUUCGCUAUUUACAUUUCUUUUGUUACUUUCGCAAGUGGAAAAUAAGGUGACAUUGAACCACAGGCCACUCUCGGGCUUGCCUUCAACGACCAAGACAGUUAUUCCACCACAGCCAUUGAUGCAUCUUCAAAAUAAACCCAGAUCAAGGGACCAAAGUUGCACGGAAAGGAAAGGGACGUCAGUAUGCUGUCAACCCAAGGGUGCUGAGCCUCAUUUCGGUUAUCGCAA